rnacentral:rRNA from 1 species
CCUACGGGUGGCUGCAGUCGAGAAUCAUUCACAAUGGGGGAAACCCUGAUGGUGCGACGCCGCGUGGGGGAAUGAAGGUCUUCGGAUUGUAAACCCCUGUCACGUGGGAGCAAAUUAAAAAGAUAGUACCACAAGAGGAAGAGACGGCUAACUCUGUGCCAGCAGCCGCGGUAACACAGAGGGCUCAAGCGUUGUUCGGAAUCACUGGGGGUAAAGCGUGCGUCGGCUGUUUCGUAAGCCGCGUGGGAAAGGCGCGGGGUCAACCCGCGGACGGCACAUGAUACUGCGAGACUAGAGUGAUGGAGAGGGAAGCGGAAGUCUCGGUGUAGCAGUGAAAUGCAUAGAUAUCGAGAAGAACACUCAUGGCGAAGGCGGGUUCCUGGACAUUAACGGACGCUGAGGCACGAAAGCCAGGGGAGCGAAAGGGAUUAGAUACCCGAGUAGUC